UUUAAUACGGUUCCGGAAAAAUCCAGUCAGAAGUUGUUCACGGAGUUUUCACAAUAACUGCUUCUCAUGAACCGAAGCUGGAUUUGCGCGACGUAUCCUCUUGAAAGUUGGAUUACUGUGCACUUCUGGAUCACAGGCUAUUCGCAGCUGGACACAUCCUUCUACACUGUAUGCAAACAUGCAACAUCAUAACACACAGUACAAGGAGUCAGACUGGCAUAUGAGGAGCAAAGGAACCCAGGCAGUAGCAUCGUUUCACAAUGUUUCCAUCACCAUCAUCAGUGGAUGCCUUUGCUGUCCGUAGCCUGAGAUUUCAGAUUUGCAGCAAAAAAAUUUGAUUUUCUCAUUUAUUGGAAUGCUGUGCAGGUAUUUGUACCUUGCAGCCAUCCAUUACAAUGUCACCAAGCCGUAACAAAAGCAGGAGAGGGAAAGUACAAGGCUAUGUUCCCAAAACACACAAGUGACAUACCUUAUGUGGAUGAUGUGAUCAGGCUUGUAUUUGAUGAGGUAUUUGAAGAUAAGCUGAAGGAAGCCCUGAUUCCAAUGGACCUGGCAUCACAGUUUGAGAGACCUUCAAAGGAGGACGUGAUUGCAUGCCAUCUUCAGUGCAGGGGUCGUCGAAAGCCAAAAUUGUGACCGAUCUGAUCAGGAAGCUCCAAGCGUAUCUGGAGAACAACACACGACAGGAUGAUAACCUUAUAGUGUUGUCUUAAAUAGCACCAGCUGACAAAGCUUUGAUAUGCCAUUUAUCUGAAUAGAUAGCUGUAAGAAAUGAAUUGAACAAUUUUUGAAAGAAUAGCACAAUAUGGUUACUAAAGUAUGUUUAUUUGUAUAUUGUUUAACAUUUAAAUAUAUAUUUGUAAUAAAUAAAAAAAACUUUUGACUGACUAUUA